rnacentral:rRNA from 1 species
UACGUAGGGUGCGAGCGUUAAUCGGAAUUACUGGGCGUAAAGCGUGCGCAGGCGGUGAUGUAAGACCGAUGUGAAAUCCCCGGGCUUAACCUGGGAACUGCAUUGGUGACUGCAUUGCUGGAGUAUGGCAGAGGGGGGUGGAAUUCCACGUGUAGCAGUGAAAUGCGUAGAUAUCAAGAGGAACACCAGUGGCGAAGGCGAGUCCCUGGACAACUUCUGACGCUGAGGCACGAAAGCUAGGGGAGCAAACAGG